ensembl:lncRNA
CACUUCUGCACCUCUGGAGCCGCCACCGCCUCCCCAGUAGGCAUGCCCUCUGGAGACGUGUGUCCCAUGGGCCACUUCUGCCCAGGGGCAACCAUGCACCCCCAGCAGCACCCGUGCCCGGUCGGGACCUGGGGCGAUACUCUGGGAGCCCGGGACCUGUCCUCCUGCGUGCCUUGCCCUCCGGGACGGUACUGCAGCAGCAGCGGACUCAGCCGGCCGUCGGGGGACUGCCGCCCUGGAUACUACUGCACAGGAGGGGCGGAGUCCCCUGCCCCCUCUGACGGAGCCACGGGUCACAGAUGUCCCGUUGGACACCGCUGUCCCGCGGGCUCCACUGCACCAGAACCCUGUCCAGACGGGACUCACUCCAACUCUACUGGCGCUGCAGUGUGUACACACUGCCCCCCGGGGACCUACUGUCUGUCUGGGGAAGCAUUGCAGCC